AUGUUCCAGUUUAAUAUUUUUAAUGGUCAAUAUUUUCAAAUUCCAUUUGCAUUUUGUACUGACAUUCUUCUAAAUAUCUUCCUUUCUGUUCAGCAGAAGAAAGAAAUUCAUACAGGUUUGAAACAACAUGAGGAUCUAACUACUUAUAGAAGGUCUGCUGUUCUUCGUGGUCUUCCCCUGUACUUGAGAGAGCCAGCUUCAAUUUCAAAGACUAUUAAGGAUACUGAGGCACUGGGGCCACACACAAAGGCCAUGAAAAUGGGGAUCCUGGAAGUGACUGACAGUUCUACCAACUCAGGACCAUAUCCCACAGUGGUCAAUGUGGCUGUAGUACUGGAGGAGGAAGUUUUACUGAAUUUCAUUUUGUAAAGCAGAUAUUUGUUUUUCCAGUACAGCUAUUGACUAAGAGUGAUAUGUCAUGCUUUCUUGAACUCUCAGAUCUUGUUUCGGCACUGGUUGAAUACUUGUGUAAUAUUUUACUUGAGCCUAACAGGCAAGUUCAUAUGCACUUAAAUAAAUACAUAAAAUGUUCUUUAUCA
ensembl:lncRNA